rnacentral:rRNA from 1 species
CCUACGGGAGGCAGCAGUGAGGAAUAUUGGUCAAUGGACGAGAGUCUGAACCAGCCAAGUAGCGUGAAGGAUGACUGCCCUAUGGGUUGUAAACUUCUUUUAUAUGGGAAUAAAAUGUUCCACGUGUGGGAUUUUGUAUGUACCAUAUGAAUAAGGAACGGCUAACUCCGUGCCAGCAGCCGCGGUAAUACGGAGGAUCCGAGCGUUAUCCGGAUUUAGUGGGUUUAAAGGGAGCGUAGGUGGAUUGUUAAGUCAGUUGUGAAAGUUUGCGGCUCAACCGUAAAAGUGCAGUUGAAACUGGCAGUCUUGAGUACAGUAGAGGUGAGCGGAAUUCGUGGUGUAGCGGUGAAAUGCUUAGAUAUCACGAAGAACUCCGAUUGCGAAGGCAGCCUACUAAACUGCCACUGACAUUGAUGCUCGAAAGUGUGGGUAUCAAACAGGAUUAGAUACCCUAGUAGUC